UUAAAUGUCCUUAUCAACUGUAAACAAAUUACAAGUUGUCUUGUGAAAAUCAUGACGCCUUUGAAGCUAAAUGAGAGACUAUUCCCCCUCCAACCAAUCUGUCGUUGAUACUGGUUACGUGAAUCUUGAAUCACAGAUACACUUCGAGCGUGACUGGUCAGCGACAACGGGGAUUUUAUCACUUGUAGACCUUUUUCCGCUGCAAACUGAAACGGUCAACCGUAUACAAAACCGUUCUACGAUAUCUUGCAUUUCCAACUUGAUUCAGGGCGCGUGGUCGAAACGACAGUGUUAAACAAACUGUUCGUCAAUAUUUAUAAAGAAAAUCAUGGAUAGAGAAUGGAUAAGAAUUUAUCAAGACUGGUGAACUGAUGAUUCGGAUAUAGACUGCAAAUUUAAUUCACCAUUAUGCUGUGGAGAGGACUGCAGCUACUAUUCAUGAUAUUGCUUCCAUUAAAUUCAGUGCAGAGCUCAGAGUCCCCCCCAGUCAUGAGCAGUGACCUGUUUCCAGAAGUAGCCUACGCACCAGGGCAAUCGUAUUUGAGCCUUGUACUUUUGGCUCUUACUGUGGGACUGACUGGUAGCAUUUACCUCUGUGUUCUGCGCUACAUCUGUAACGGAUGCUGCCAGCCUAUAGGAGUGGGGCCAGAAGAUGACAGCCUGUCUGGAGUGGUCUGAAAAUAGGUGUGUGUGUA